AGAUGGCGCAUUGGCCAUUGAUAUUUUGAUCAUUGAUGCUCGUAUUAAUAGGCCAAAUGCCAAUAUUUAAUAUUAAUUGUUUAAUGUAAUUGCUCCAUCUCAGUUGUGAAUUUUAUUGUGUUGAAUGUGACUAUAAGUGAUAUUAAUUGAAGACUGAAGUUGUUUUUAUUUGAUGAGUAUUUUUACAUAUUAUAUGUAAAAUGUUCUGCGAUACAAUGUUCUUCCAUUAAAAAUGGAAAUUGUAGAUAUACCAAAGAUACUCCUUCCGUACCUUUUUGUAUUAAGUUUGAUAAUUUACAUAUUUUAUCUUGAUUUAGAGGGGCUAGUGACUCGUAUGAUUGCAUUUUUCCUACUUUUUGUAGUAAUGUACGUUGCUAAAUUAUUAAGCAUUGUGAGGUAUGACUAAGGGUCUUCCACAAUUGACAUUUGUUUUCUAUUUAAUAGCAUGCUUAUCAUAGCAUGGUCAUGUAAAUUCUUCCAAAUACAACUCUUCCAUGUUAGUACAUGUUACCUAGUGGUAAUCCUAUAUCUUUUUACUUUCUGAAACAGGAAACUGCUUCAAGUCUCUUUAUGGAGAACUAAAUUUAUAAGGUACUUUCCCGUUGUAUGUUUUUUAAAUCACUUUCAUAUUAAUGAUGAGAGGAAAGACCAUAGUUCAGAAGCUUGUACAUGUAAAAUUCUGAUGAUGGCUUAGCGUUUCUACACACUGGAAUUUUCCACAAUGCGUCGGAAGUCCUGACGGGAAACAUAAGAAUUACAGCAUCCCUUUAUUCUGGAUCGAGCUGAAUAAACCAUAAGGGAUACUUUUUGAUUGUAUAGUAUAGCUUUCGAAGAUACUGAUACAUUACUUUGACUGUACUGGAUGUUGGGGAAUAUGCUCGAAAUAGGACAUGCACUUGCCAUAUUAUUACUUUGUUGUGAACAAAACGUUUUCCCUCAAAUAAAAUAUAAUAAAGCUCUAUGCAAUGAGUCAGCAAACAAAUAAUUACUAUCAUUUCUAUUAUUCAGACUUUCGAAGGGACGUAAAUCUGUAGAAUGUCACUAGAAUGACACGACCAAAAUUUGAGAGUUUGAAGAGUUUCACGAGCAAACCAAUCAAUUGCGAGCCGUCUAAAGAUGAUUUGCGAGCAAUGUGUUUAUUAAAUAUUGUUAUAUGAAGGAUAGUUUUCAUUACUACAGUUUAAAAAUAAUUUAUUUGGCAUGAACCGGGAAGGAGAAGGGAACAUUUAUAUACAAGAAUUAUCGGAGAAUAUCUUACUAAAUACUUUGACAAUCGGGGCCCCAUAUUAAAAUUGAUUUUCUGCUUAAAUUGUUUCAAAACCUUUUUGUAAUAAAUUUUUUCCAAUAAAGAAGUCUAAGAUUCA